GUUCCUGUAGUGUAGUGGUUAUCACGUUCGCUUUACACGCGAAAGGUCUCAGGUUCGAACCCUGGCAGGAACA
rnacentral:tRNA from 1 species